UAUUGGCUGUCAGAAAA
rnacentral:misc_RNA from 1 species